UGAGUAACACGUGGGUGAUCUGCCCUGCACUUCGGGAUAAGCUUGGGAAACUGGGUCUAAUACCGGAUAGGAGCCAUCUUUAGUGUGGUGGUUGGAAGUUUUUCGGUGUAGGAUGAGCUCGCGGCCUAUCAGCUUGUUGGUGGGGUAAUGGCCUACCAAGGCGGCGACGGGUAGCCGGCCUGAGAGGGUGUACGGCCACAUUGGGACUGAGAUACGGCCCAG
rnacentral:rRNA from 1 species